rnacentral:rRNA from 1 species
CAGCGGCCGCGGUAAUACGUAGGGUGCAAGCGUUAUCCGGAAUUACUGGGCGUAAAGCGUGCGCAGGCGGUUUUUUAAGUCAGGUGUGAAAUCCCCGGGCUCAACCCGGGAAAGGCGCUUGAAACUGCAAAGCUAGAGUGCGGCAGAGGGGGGUGGAAUUCCGCGUGUAGCGGUGAAAUGCGUAGAGAUGCGGAGGAACACCAAUGGCGAAGGCAAUCCCCUGGACCUGUACUGACGCUGAGGCACGAAAGCGUGGGGAGCAAACAGGAUUAGAGACCCGUGUAGUCCCUGUCUCUUAUAC